rnacentral:rRNA from 1 species
UACGUAGGUGACAAGCGUUGUCCGGAUUUACUGGGUGUAAAGAGCGCGCAGGCGGUCGUUCAAGUCGAGUGUGAAAGCCCCCGGCUCAACUGGGGAGGGUCACUCGAUACUGAUCGACUCGAAGGCAGGAGAGGGAAGUGGAAUUCCCGGUGUAGUGGUGAAAUGCGUAGAUAUCGGGAGGAACACCAGUGGCGAAGGCGGCGACCUGGACAGGUACUGACACUCAACUACGAAAGCGUGGGGAGCAAACAGG